CAGAUUGCAUUCAGAUUGCCUAUCGAUUCCCUUUCUCCAUCUCAAUCUCAAAAAACAAAAGAUCCCCUUCCUCCUCCCUGCCGCCCACCGCCACCGCAUCCACCACCCUGCAGCCGCCUCGUCUCCCCUCCGGCCCAGCCAUCCCCUCUCUCUGUUCCACGGCGAGGAACGACCGGUCCGCAUCAUACCUUAGCCGGAGGUCCUUUUGCCGUCCAUGGCGAUGGAGGCAAUGCGUGAGGUGAGGCGGCUCGGCGACCGCCUGCACCACGCGCGCGACGGCGGGGACGAUGGCGCGUUCUUCGCCGACUACCCCGCGUGAGCUGGCUCGCUACACCUCCUUACUGCCUCAACCCGGCAGCCCAGGCAGCAGCAGCCGGCUCUGGAGGUCCUCCACGGCACGGAUCUACCAUCCUCGAGCUCAACACACUUGGUAACGUUCCCUGUUCCGGAGGCUGUCCGUGACGGGAAUAGUCUUCUUCACCGUCGCGUACCAGUGGUGGUGUUGAUCUAUGAAUCAGCUGAUGUGCGUUUGAUGUCAUCCGGGUUCACCCAUUGGAGAUGGACAUGUGCCCAUGCAGUGGCGGCAUGUAGAGGUACCCGCACCCGUACUUGGCGAGCCAAACAAGCCGUCACUCCAUGGAGCAGUCAGCGAUUAGAUACGGUCCAGCAGGGAUGCAGACGUACAGAACACAUGGAUGCGAUAGGGUGGUAACACCAAGUCCAUGUUCAUGUGGAGAAACUCGUGGCGAGAUACGUUGUGAUGGUGAUGGCUGCGAGCCCGUUGAAGUCUGGCAGCAUAGAGGCUGGCAAGGCGAUAUGAUAGUGCUGCAGGCAGCUCUGGCCAGCGCGUCACCUAAGUUCUGUCCUUGCUUUCUCCUCCUCCGACGUACUUGCCGGAUCAAGGCUGCGUAGUCAGUGCAUCUCGUUUUCUCUCUAUCCUUAUACUGAACCGAUCUUGCAUGACGCUACUCUAGUCUAAAUAAAUACAAUGUUGCGCAACUUUUACUGAUUACGAUUGGAUCCUGAUAUCUUCUGUUUCUAGAUUCACUGAGGAUUUCUUACACCUUGUUCUUUGGUGCUUGAGUGUUAUCUUAUUCGAUUUUCUUUGGUGUUUUAUUUGCAUGACUACCAUAUUCUAUAUGCUAUAUGCUACCUAUUAGCCUUCUAAUUCCUAUAUUGAGAAUUCUCCUACAAUUGGCCAUUAUUCAAGGUGGUGUUCUUGUGUAUUUGUAUCUUAUGCAAAUGAUGUCCUCUAGAUUUGGUGAACGGUUUCUUUAGACUUACAUUGGAGUGUCCCCAUCCACAUUCUUUCAUUCUAUUUUCCAUUUGAGCAAUGAUCUUCUAAUUAGAAUGUACAUUGCUACCUCGAGUGCUCUUGUGUUUCAGAUUGCGCAUGAAGACAUAUAGGGGGGCCUUGUAUGUAUCAAUCAGUUCAAUGCCUUUUCCACCACUUAAUUUCAGUUUAUAAUUUACCAAGCCUUUUUAAUUCAUGAAAAUAAUAUUUACUUUUACAGCACAUGAAUACCUUUAAAACUGUGAGUUGUAGCAUGGCCUUUUUUGUUCCCUCCCAUUGGCGAUAGUAUAUGGUUUGUGGAAUACUACCUAAAAGUUGUCCCUGGUUGUAGAAAGCACUUGCACGUCUACACGCGCUAUACUACUACACGAGGUGCGAAAGUUGUCACAAGACUAAAGCAUAAAUAUAUAUCUUUUUCCGUUAUUUGAACUGUUCCAAAUUGUUCUUCUUUGCGUGUUGUAAAAUUUUGCUUACCUACUCAAUAUGUGUAUCUGAGGUCUUCACCUAAGAAAGAACUAUUGGUUUUGUCAAAUUUGGUUGAUGCAAUUUUUCUUAAACUCAAUUAGUAACUGAAUCUAAAUUGUAAGAUCAAUCUUGGAUCAAAUGUAAUCCAGCUGUGUAUGAUCAGACUGUACUCAAGGAUGGUACAGAGCAAAAUUCACCUUAAUUGUUCUGUUGUCCUAGUCGCUCCUCUUUGCAAUUGUAACUUUGCCCUAGUAUUGUGAUUGGUGUCAUUUUCUUUGGCUGACAUAUUUGCCUCAACAUGUUGGAAGUGCCAUAUGCUUUGGUAUUAAAGGCUUGCAAUAAGAUUUGUUAUCUUCUGCAUGUGACUAUAGUGUUUUCAAUCAGGUUUGUGUAACUGAUAUAUUUUACUUACUUAUCUGGUAUGAUCAGCAGAGAGCAGCCUAUAACUAGGAUUUCAUGUAUAUAUUAUUUCAAGGUACAAGAAAGGUUCAAGUAUGACACAAAGGAGCUGACUAAGAAGAUUGACAUUUGGACAUACGUUGGCACAGGAAGUGGAUGCGCACUACUGCAGAAAGGCUUAUAGCCACCAGGUGGUUAGUGACAGGCAAAACUAUGCCAGUCACUAGUAAGUAUUACCAGUGACGGGCAAAGUUAAGCCUGUCACUAGUACGAAAUAACAGUGACAGGCUUAUCAAAGUGACUGUCACCACUAUUUCUCAUGGAGGCCGGCCAAUUAAAAUUAUUAGUUAGUGACAGGGUUUUCUAAAGCCUGUCACCGGUAAAAAGACCGGUGCCACCGCGCGCCUCCUCUGCUGGGCGGCCCAACUGCUGGGUCGCUCUCGCUCCAGCUUGGUCAACUACACGAGACCCCCUCCCGUUUCAGAAAAAAAUAAUUACACGAGACCCUCCGAUCCCCAACCUCCGCCGCCCUGCUCCCCUUCCUCGACUCCCAAAGUCCCCAACCGCCGCCACCUCUCCAACGCCGGCAGGCUCCGACGCGAGCGACGCCCUAGACCAUGUGCGUCCCUGCUUGACUGCUUCCCGUCCCCAACCGCCGCCGUUCUGAUCCGCGUAUACGUCCUCGUCCCAGAUUUCCAUGUCCCCAACCGCCGCCGCCCCUCCAACGUCACAAGCCCUCCAACUCCACCAGCCCGCCACGACGACGUCUUCCCCGGACGCGAGGCCGCCGCCACCUGAGGACGCUGCUGCCCGAAGCUGCGCUGCUUCCUCCCCUGCACCGCCCCGCCUCCUGCCACCGACGCGUCCCCGGCCUCUGGUCAUCGAUGCCGCUAGGCCUCCUGCCGCCGACGCGUCCUAGGGAUUGAUUUGGAUCUCCAAGUGCCUUUUUCCGGGAGGCGAGAUCUUUCUCCGCAAUGGGUGUUCCUCAGGUUUUCGUCGGGGUCUUCUGCUACUCUCCGUUCCCAGUGGUAGGGCUAGGUUCUGUGUCGCUGCGGCGGUUGUGGCGAGAGGGUUGGGUCGUUUCCUCAAGAAUUAAAGUCUGAAGCUACGGUUCCUUCAGCUAGGCCUGUUACGUAUGUAAAGGAGACUGAAGCCAUGGUUCUUUCAGCUGGUCCUGCCUACAAUGUAAAAAAGACCGAAGCGACAUUUCUUUAACCUGUGCUGCUCUACAAUGUGACAAGACCCACGCUAUAGUUCCUUCAGCUGGGCAUCCAACACAAUGUAAAGAUGACUGAAACUGUAGUUCAGUCACCUGGAUCUGUCAACAAUAUAAAGAAUACUGAAUCUGUCGUUGCUUCAGGUGUACCUAUCAUGUUUUGAUGCACGAACUAUUGCAGCUCCAUUGACUGAGACUGGCACACGGUUAAAGAACGAAGCCUAUCCAAGCAAUACAUUGCUUCCUCACGGUUUGAAGAAUACAAGAAAUAUAUGAUGCAUAUGCUACUUUGCAGGCUAUCCUCGCAGGAUUUCGUUUUAUUCAGAUUGUACAACCUCAGACACCACUACACCAGGGUAUACCCAAGGUACUACUACCUGAAUGAAUCAGUUUCAUGUUCGUAUGUGAUUGUUUCAUCGAAUUUUGCUGUGAAUACUACUUUUAUUUUAGGUUACCUACCCCACUUCCAGUGCAUUUAUUGAGCUCAUCUCUCAUUUUGAUGUGAUUGACAAGGUUGCAAUUACCUCUGCAAAAGUAAUCAACCCUGCCAUGUUCGAUCAUGUGCUGGCUCGAACAUCUGUUUGGCCACAACAAGUGUCGUUGAUGUUCUCCUUGGUCAUUUGAUUUUGAACUGAAAUUCAUGAACUGUUAAUGUUAAUUGUAUGGUCGUUCUGGUCCCACGAAAGCAUGCUGAAUCCAAACAGUAGGCUCUUUAUUAUUCAACAGAUGCUUAUGUACGUGGUAACAUUGCUCACAAAUAUAUACUCAUUUCCUUGUUUGUAUCAGGUUAAGCAUGUUAUCAGUGUCCUGCGCCAUUCAGGUCCAUACAAGGAAGACAUAAUGAAAGAAUCUACACGUCAACAAGAUGAUGGAAAUGUAGAAUAGUGAAAGGAACUAGCAGUUUUGUAGUUCAAAUUGCUUGCAACAUAACUGAUCAAGUGUUAGUUGUUCAAAUAUUAUGUCAUAUUUGGUGAUGCGAAUAUAUCAUUAGUACAACAUCUUAUUGUGCUAUGUCAAAUACUUGUGG